AGGACGAACGCUGGCGGCGUGCUUAACACAUGCAAGUCGAGCGGUAAGGCCCUUUCGGGGGUACACGAGCGGCGAACGGGUGAGUAACACGUGGGUGACCUGCCCUUAGCUCUGGGAUAAGCCUGGGAAACUGGGUCUAAUACCGGAUAUGACUCCACGGUGCAUGUCGUGGGGUGGAAAGCCUUGUGCGGCUGAGGAUGGGCCCGCGGCCUAUCAGCUUGUUGGUGGGGUGAUGGCCUACCAAGGCGACGACGGGUAGCCGGCCUGAGAGGGCGACCGGCCACACUGGGACUGAGACACGGCCCAGACUCCUACGGGAGGCAGCAGUGGGGAAUCUUGCGCAAUGGGCGAAAGCCUGACGCAGCGACGCCGCGUGAGGGAUGACGGCCUUCGGGUUGUAAACCUCUUUCAGCUCCGACGAAGCGGAAGUGACGGUAGGAGCAGAAGAAGCACCGGCCAACUACGUGCCAGCAGCCGCGGUAA
rnacentral:rRNA from 1 species